CACCCGCAGCUCGAGUGGUGGUCACUUUUAUUGAGCCUAAAGCGUUCGUAGCCGGCUUCGUAAAUCUCCAGACAAAUUCUUCCGCUUAACGGGAGAUCCUCUGGAGAGACUGCGGAGCUAGGGACCGGGUGAGGUUGAAGGUACUUCCGGGGUAGGGGUAAAAUCCUGUAAUCCUGGAAGGACGACCGGUGGCGAAGGCGUUCAACUAGAACGGAUCCGACGGUGAGGAACGAGGGCUAGGGGAGCAAACCGG
rnacentral:rRNA from 1 species